GGCCUCAUAGCUCAGUUGGCUAGAGCGUUGGCUGUACUAAAGCCUUCCCCUUGCUGGCGUGGGUUUGAAUCCCACCGAGUCCG
rnacentral:tRNA from 1 species